UCUGUUGAUUUUGUUUCUGGCGAGAGAAAAAAAGAGACGACAGAGGCGACUAAGAGAACACGAAAUCCACUUAAAUCCACCACCGCCGCCGGUGAAAUCCUCUCAAACGCUGUUGGUCGCUGCUGCAAUACCGUUUUUUGCUAUUUUUGGGCUCUAAUUUUCGCUAUUUGGAGCUCUGAUUUCCGCCGGCGAACUGUUUUCCUUUCCCUUUAUCCCCCGCCAAACGCCGUUGCUCGCAACUGCGACACCAAACAAGUCAAUAGGUCAGUAGUAUAGGAGGCUUUUUGUGAGGGGAAAAACUGACAAAGCAUCUGAUUUGGAAGCAGUUAAGAUGUUUCAAACACAUGAUAUAAAUUUUGAUGGGGUGAAAAAUUUGUAAAACAUCCUAAACUUAGUUAUAUAGGAGGGC